UUACUGGGCGUAAAGCGAGCGCAGACGGUUACUUAAGCAGGAUGUGAAAUCCCCGGGCUCAACCUGGGAACUGCGUUCUGAACUGGGUGACUAGAGUGUGUCAGAGGGAGGUAGAAUUCCACGUGUAGCAGUGAAAUGCGUAGAGAUGUGGAGGAAUACCGAUGGCGAAGGCAGCCUCCUGGGAUAACACUGACGUUCAUGCUCGAAAGCGUGGGUAGCAAACAGGAUUAGAUACCCUGGUAGUCCACGCCCUAAACGAUGUCAAUUAGCUGUUGGGCAACUUGAUUGCUUAGUAGCGUAGCUAACGCGUGAAAUUGACCGCCUGGGGAGUACGGUCGCAAGAUUAAAACUCAAAGGAAUUGACGGGGACCCGCACAAGCGGUGGAUGAUGUGGAUUAAUUCGAUGCAACGCGAAGAACCUUACCUGGUCUUGACAUGUACGGAAUCCUCCAGAGACGGAGGAGUGCCUUCGGGAGCCGUAACACAGGUGCUGCAUGGCUGUCGUCAGCUCGUGUCGUGA
rnacentral:rRNA from 1 species